AUCAAGAGCUAAGGGUUUGCAACACCUGCUAGGAUGUCUAUCUUGCAAACAUGAUCUAAUCCAAUUAGACCCUUAAUAAGUUUUCUUGUGUGUGACCCAUUGGGUUCCAUACUUAGCCAGCAAUAGGUGUGAGUGCAAGUUGACCCAACUUGAUUAAAACUCUUCUAAUCGAUUUAAGUCCAAACUGCGCGACCCGAACUUAAC
rnacentral:lncRNA from 1 species